GACGAACGCUGGCGGCGUGCUUAACACAUGCAAGUCGAGCGGUAAGGCUCCUUCGGGAGUACACGAGCGGCGAACGGGUGAGUAACACGUGAGUAAUCUGCCCUUCACUUCGGGAUAACCACCGGAAACGGUGGCUAAUACCGCAUACGACCCAUCUUCGCAUCAGGUGCUGGUGGAAAGUCUUUUCGGCGAAGGAUGUGUUAGCGGCCUAUCAGGUUGUUGGUGGGGUAAUGGGCUACCAAGGAGUCGACGGGUAGCCGGCAUGAGGGGGUGAGCGGCCACACUGGGGCUGAGACACGGACGAGACGCCGACGUGGGGAAGCAGUGGCGAAGAGUGGACGACGGACGAAAGCAUGCUCCAGCAACGCCGCAGGAGGGAUGACGGCAUUCGGGUUGUAAUCCUCUUGAAGUACCGACGAAGAGCCCUGUCGGGUGGUGACGGUAGGUAAAGAAGAAGGACCGGCUAACUACGUG
rnacentral:rRNA from 1 species